rnacentral:rRNA from 1 species
GAUGAACGCUAGCGGCAGGCCUAGCACAUGCAAGUCGAGGGGCAGCACAUAAAGUGGUUUACUACUUUUGGUGGCGACCGGCGGACGAGUGCGUAACGCGUAUGCAACCUGCCUCCAACAGGGGGAUAACGGAGAGAAAUUUCCACUAAUACCCCAUAAUAUCAGAAUCGGCAUCGGUUUUGGUUGAAAACUCCGGUGGUUGGAGAUGGGCAUGCGUUGUAUUAGAUAGUUGGUGAGGUAACGGCGCACCAAGUCAACGAUACAUAGGGGGACUGAGAGGUUAGCCCCCCACACUGGUACUGAGACACGGACCAGACUCCUAUGGGAGGCAGCAGUGAGGAAUAUUGGUCAAUGGGGGCAACCCUGAACCAGCCAUGCCGCGUGCAGGAAGACGGCUCUAUGAGUUGUAAACUGCUUUUACAAGGGGAUAAAUCGGUGUACGUGUACACCGUUGAAGGUACCUUGGGAAUAAGGAUCGGCUAACUCCGUGCCAGCCGCCGCCGUAA